AUUCCCCCUACCCACGAUCUUACUUAUCUCUCUCCCGAUGAGGGUUCCUCCUCACAAGAUCAUGACUUUCCCUAUGAGGAUUCCUCAAAGAAACCCCUAAUCUUCUAAUCUCCUCCAAUCUGUUUUUCAUCUCUCUAUUCUCUUUCUGCAAAACCUCAACUUCUCUACUCAUCCACAAGCACAUACCCUUCAGCAUCUUCAAAUCCCCGACAUCACUGAAGCUGCUGCUCUUGGGCUUCACUUCCUGCUCCUCCUCAACCCUCUCAAUCCCAAUUUUAUCAACCAUUAAAAAAGGCAACUUCUUCCCACUAAAAUCA